AUAAAUCCUCAAUCCUAGGCUACCAUGCCUAAGCUAAUGCAAGCUACCAUGAAAAGCACCCUAUCAAUGCUAAUUCAAGCUAACCUUAGGAGAGUUUAAUUCCUCAAUCCCAAGCUACCAUGAGAUCUAUCAUCCCAAGCUACCGUGAGAUCUACCAUCCCAAGCUACAUAAUUCAUCUAUCCAUGAAGGAGUCAUGAGACUCAACCUCAAGCUAUUCUACUUUAACAAGCAGGUGAUUAACCUUUCACAUCCUACAUAUAUCAUCAUUUUUGACUUACUCUUUAAGCCCUAGUGAUCAACAUUAUGACUUCAAGCCCUACAUUCAAACUUUACUCCACAAUCAUUACUCUAGUCUAGAUCACAAUGCAUAGUAGUCACAUGCCUUAGCCAUAGCCAAUUCUAAGCAUAAUUCAUCAAAGUCC
rnacentral:lncRNA from 1 species